rnacentral:rRNA from 1 species
ACGAACGCUGGCGGCGUGCUUAACACAUGCAAGUCGAACGGUGAAGGGGCCUGCUUUUGUGGGCCCUGGAUGAGUGGCGAACGGGUGAGUAACACGUGAGUAACCUGCCCCCUUCUUCUGGAUAACCGCAUGAAAGUGUGGCUAAUACGGGAUAUUCUGGGUCUGUCGCAUGAUGGGUCUGGGAAAGAUUGCGCCUUUGGGUGUUUUUGGUGGGGGAUGGGCUCGCGGCCUAUCAGCUUGGUGGUGGGGUGAUGGCCUACCAAGGCGGUGACGGGUAGCCGGCCUGAGAGGGUGGACGGUCACACUGGGACUGGGACACGGCCCAGACUCCUACGGGAGGCAGCAGUGGGGAAUAUUGCACAAUGGGCGCAAGCCUGAUGCAGCGACGCCGCGUGAGGGAUGGAGGCCUUCGGGGUGUAAACCUCUUUCGCCAGUGAAGCAGGCCUGCUCCUUGUGGGUGGGUUGACGGUAGCUGGAUAAGAAGCGCCGGCUAACUACGUG